ensembl:lncRNA
CAUUUUAUUCAUUUAAAAUAAGUAAUACAGACUCAUUAUAGAGAAUUUGGAAUAAUCCAGGAAUAUCGUCACUCAGAGAUGUUCCCUCAUGAUAUUUUGAUGUAAAAAUAUCUUGGAUUGGCUUCCCUGGAAACAGACUCUGAAACAAAAGCUGCAUGCUGAAUGUUUAUUGGGCGAGUGCUGUCUCGAGACGCUCCUGUAAGGAGUGAGGGAGAACCGUGCAGACGGAGAGUCUGACUCCACAUGCAGAUGCCACUGGGACUCCGCUGACUGUCGGGGGAGCGGGAGCUGGAACGGCCUUUCAGAGCGAUUCCAAAUUAAGCGCGAUGCAGAGAGUAUUAUCAUCUCCAUUUUGCAGAUGAGGAACCCAAGGCACAGAAAGAUUAAGUAACUCCUCUAAAGUUCCACAAUUGCGUGCUCCAUUAUUUCAAGACUAUCUUCUAAGCAUUCACUAAAAUGUACCACCUACAUUUCCAAGAAGGAUUUUUAAUUUAUGGAAUGAAUGUGUGAAUGAGGGCAGAGACAGGGCAUGAACCAGCAACCUUCUACUGCAUUGGGAGCUGUGGAAAGCAGAUGCUGGUGUGGAACAGCCAUCUUGAGGACAAGGGGCAACAAGCAAAAGGACAAAGUCACCCACAGAGGAAACAGAAAGAAAGGAGCCUGAUCUGUGAUGACAUUCUGGAGCUCUCAUCUCACCCUGCACUGCCUAUCUUUGGACUUCUUUUGUGAAAAAUAUAAUCGAACUCCUAUUAAAUCACUGCAAGUUAAAUUUUGUUUAGAGACUACCAAAUAUAUUUCUAACUGACUCAGAUUGGAGGUGGGGGAAGCAAGAAAGGAGAAUCAAAGAUGAUUUCAGCUUUUUUGUUUCCCUGAACAACUAUUUAAAUGGAAAAUUGGGUGAUGAACAGAAUUUAAAUGGGGGUAUGCGUAUGUGUGUGUAUAUGCCUGUGAGUGUCUAUGUGUGAGAGACAGAGAUAAAGAGCAAGAGAGAGAGACAGAGAGAGAUGGAAUCCAAGACUUUGGUUUUGGAUAUGUUAAGCUUAAGAUGUCUGUAAGACAUCUAUGUGGAGAUAUUAACCAAAGAGUUGAUUAUAUGAACUUGUCAUUCAAAGAAGGGUCUGGAAUAGAGAUGAAAUCUGGCAGUUGUCAGCACAGAGAUACUAUUUAAAGUCAUGUAAAUGGCUGAGAUUUCCCAGAGCAGGAAAGUAUAGAGAUGGAAGAGAAAAAGGUCAUGGCUAAACCCAGAGCAUGUCAACAUUUAAAGGCAAGGAGGGGAAGAAGUGUGUAAAAGAAACUAAGAAGGAAUAGCCAGUGGGGAGUAACAGGAGUUAGCAACAAAGUAUUGUCAAGAAAGUGGGCUUCCUAGGCCCAUUUUGCUUGUGCACAGCACAUGAGUGUUGUGUGCUACUCAUUUGGCACCUUGUAUAUAGUAGAUUGGGAAGUUAUUUCUCUUUUUGCGUGUAGGCCGCUUUCUCUCUGUGGUAAGGCCUUUGGUCUCCAGGGAAUGGGAUCAUGUCUGUCCUCUGGAAUUCCCCAUACCAGGGACAGUACUUAAUCUUGAAGCAAUGUUCCAUAAUGCUUGGCAAUGACAAUCUGUGCCCACUGGGGUCAGUGAGAAGAAAGAGGAUGUUCAGGAAAUGGAAACUGGUUUGGAAAAAUGAAAAAUUUGAAAGCAUGCUCAAUCCCAGGUGGAAAGGCUCAUUGAGCAGCAGAAUGAGAUAGAGUAUCUGACCAGAGGGAAGACUUUUUAAGAAUAAUUUUAAGAGCACAAGUUAGCUACAGCUCAUCGGGCUUGGUAAAAGCCAGAUAGAUUAAAGAAAAGACGGCACAGAAUCUGAGAAUUCCCUUGAUUCAGGGUUCGGGUGGAGAGGGUAGCUUCCACCGGAAACACCAAGCGCUUAUGCCGGAAGCUGAGCAGGAAAGGACAGUGUUCCCAGAGCUGGGAUGAGCUCAUAGUGACUGCUGGGGUGAAAUAAAGAGGAAGGAACUGUGAAACCCUGGCUACACGCUGACCCACAGGCAUGGCAUUGACUAACUCUCAAGAUAAUUCUCUCGUGCUCUUUGGUAUGAGAUGCUGAUGUCUUGCUCUAGAAGCCUAUGGGAUGGGAGAGAUGUGCAGCCUUGGGCUAGAAGGCCAAACUCUUGAUCAUUCAUUCAUUCACAUGUUCAAUCAUAUUUGAUAUGCAAUUACUAUAUGCCAAGUCCUGGGGAGAGAGGGGUGCAAAAGAGAAAAAAACAUAACUAAUUUCAUGAAAUUCAUUUUCUAGUAGAAAGGUUUAUGUGUAUGUGAGAAGAAUAAGUAGAAAAAAAUUAAUGAACAAGAUAAUUUCUUAUAGUAAUGAUAAGAGCUGUGAAGAAAAUCAGACACUAUGAUACGCUAGAGCCAGAGUUGUCCAAAGCAUGGUCCUGGGUCAACAGCAUUGUAUCACAAAGAAGCUUGUUAAAACGCAGAAUCUCAAGAAACACCACACACCUAUUGGAUCAGAAUCUGCAUUUUAACAAGAUUCCCCCCACUGCCGCCAUGAUUCCUAUGCACGUUAACGUUUGCCAAGUACUGUGCUAGAGUGUUUGGAAAGGGGGAUCCUUUAGGUUGGAUAGUUAGGGAAGCUUUCUCUGUGGAGGUGACAUCUGAGCUGAGACCUGAAUGAAGAGAAGCCAUCCAUGUAAAGAUCUGGGAGCAGAGCAUUCCAUGCGGAGGGAAUAGAAAAUUCAAGGGACUGGAUGGUAAUACGCUUAGUGUAUUCAAAAAACAAAAAGAUGUGCUCCCUCAUCAUGGACUCUCUCUUCUCUCCUUACCUCGUUAGUCCUUAUCCAGCUGUCAGGCCUCAGUCCGAACCGUGCUUCCUCCUGGAGGCUUCCCUGAACUCAGAAGACCCUUCCCAUACUAUCCCACCCCCACCCUAUUCUAGUUCUGUGUGCGAGUGAUCUGGUUGUUUAUCUACCCAAUAUGUCUGCAAUCUUGGUACUGAACACCUGCUUUAUAAUUUUAUUUAAUGAUUAUUUGAAUGAAAGUGAGAAUCCCAGAAAGAUGUCAGAGGUAGGCUAUAAAACUAAUCAUACCGGGGCCAGGCCGGUGGCGCAGCAGUUAGGUUCGCACGUUCUGCUUCUCGGUGGCCCCGGGUUCACCGGUUUGGAUCCUGGGUGCAGACAUGGCACCGCUUGGCAAGCCAUGCUGUGGUAGGUGUCCCACAUAUAAAGUAGAGGAAGAUGGGCAUGGAUGUUAGCUCAGGGCCAGUCUUUCUCAGCAAAAAAGAGGAGGACUGGCAGUAGUUAGCUCAGGGCUAAUCUUCCCCCUACCCCUGCCCCCCAAAAGUAAUCAUACCACAUCUUUGUUGAGGGGCAAGGUCAGUAACUCUUGAAACCUGCUGACCUUUGUUUGGGGAUAUGUAACCCUACUCUGUUGUCUGUGCCACCAGGCCUCAUGCAUUUCCUUCCUCUUGACCCUCAUUGCUCUGUGAUCUGUGGUCAGGCUCUUCCUAAAUAUUUUCUUUCAGUCCUGGAUUCAGACUCCAGCAGAGGCUAUGAGCUACUAGAAAGGACAUGCAAUUGAGUAAACUACAAUGCAAUGUGCUAGAUGCAAUUACACAGUUAAGAACAAAUGACUGCUGGAGCUCAGAGAGGGGCUUGGCACCAAAUUCUGGAGGGAUAUAGGAAGUUCCAUUUGAGCUGGCUCUUAAGAAAGGAAGAAUUUUUUCAAGUUUAAAGGGGUAGUGGUGAGGUGGUGGUAAUUAGAUGGUAAUGGUAGUGGACAGGCGGUGAUGGUGUUGGUGGUGAUGUUGGUUUUGAAUGAAGAUGAUGGUGGGUGAUGGUGGUGAAAAUGACUAUGGCAGCAGUGAUGAGGUGGCUGUGGUGAUGGUAGUAUCAUAAGAAUCAUAGUGAUAGUGAAGUACAUUCCAGACAGAGGCCAAAGCAUGCCCAGGAACAUGACAUCAUACAAUAUCUCACUAAGUUAAAAAACUAGGAGAAGCUCACUUGGUAGGUAGGCUGCAGAUAAGAUGGACAGGUAGCUUGGAGCCAGGUGUAAGAGCCUCAUGGGCCAAGAUGGACCCAUUUUCAUUAAAAGUAGGUGAUGGACUUGGUUUGCUUUGGUUUGUAGGAAGAGAACUGGCAGCACUGUGAGGGGGGGUGAUUUCUCCUGUCAUAAGUGCUCUUCUCAUUUUUGUGAUUGUCCAGUUAGACACCAAAAGGAAGGGCCAAAAGAAAUGAAAUAUGAACAAAUCCACUUCUCCUUGAACCCAGCAUCUUAGAGAAAGAAAGAAUUCUCCCUUUCAGGCAGGAUAAUAUUGCAGUCACUCAAGAAAGACAUUCAUGUGCAGAGCUUCAUUGACUUACAAUGGGAGUAUGUCCCAAUAAACCCAUUGUAAGUUGAAAAUAUUGUUAAGUUCAAAAUGCUUUAAAUACACCUAACCUAUCAAACAUCAUAGUUUAGCCUAGAGUAGCUUUUAAACAUGCCCAGAACACUUACAUUAGCCUACAGUUGGGCAAAAUCAUC